UGAUGGCCUCAGGUGCACCCGUUAG
rnacentral:misc_RNA from 1 species